AUUGAACGCUGGCGGCAGGCUUAACACAUGCAAGUCGAGCGGAGAUGAGGUGCUUGCACCUUAUCUUAGCGGCGGACGGGUGAGUAAUGCUUAGGAAUCUGCCUAUUAGUGGGGGACAACAUUCCGAAAGGAAUGCUAAUACCGCAUACGUCCUACGGGAGAAAGCAGGGGAUCUUCGGACCUUGCGCUAAUAGAUGAGCCUAAGUCGGAUUAGCUAGUUGGUGGGGUAAAGGCCUACCAAGGCGACGAUCUGUAGCGGGUCUGAGAGGAUGAUCCGCCACACUGGGGCUGAGACACGGCCCAGACUCCUACGGGAGGCAGCAGUGGGGAAUAUUGGACAAUGGGGGAAACCCUGAUCCAGCCAUGCCGCGUGUGUGAAGAAGGCCUUAUGGUUGUGAAGCACUUUAAGCGAGGAGGAGGCUACUGAGACUAAUACUCUUGGAUAGUGGACGUUACUCGCAGAAUAAGCACCGGCUAACUCUGUGCCAGCCGCCGCGGUAA
rnacentral:rRNA from 1 species